CCUAACUUUUAGAGAUAUUUCAGCCCUUUCCUGUGGCCUGGUCCUAUAGCCAAAAUCACAGAUAUUCAUGAGUUUCUACUUGAGUGAGAAAACUGGGUGAAGGAAUAGAAUUUUAAAUAGUAAUAACUGCUUGUUUUUUUGUGCAAGUACUUUUAUACAUAAGAUAAACAAAAACCUUACCACCAAACAUACCAAAAUGCACCUCUUUCAUAAGUGAGUUACUAAGAUUUCUAUACCUGGAAUAUCAUGUAUGUUUCAUUUACUGGAUGUUUACAUUUUAGGAAGGAAAAUAGUUUUGUUUAUUUAAACAACUGAAUACUUAUAAACUGUUGUUCCUGGAAGUUAUUUAUUCCAUAAAAAAUUUGUUCUUUUCUCAUGAAUUUAUAAUUCCUAAAUGAAGACCAGAAAGUACAAAUUGCUGGGAGGAAGAAUAGGCUUUAUUAAUCAACUGAUGUCUUGAUUUUUCUAAAUGGGAAGAUUGCUUUAUUUUUAACACUAAUUAUGGGAGCAGAUUCUUAGCAAACUUCUUUGGAAAAGUUAAUGUUAUGAUGUGCAUUAGGCUGCCCCAUCGUGUAUAUAAAUGAAGCAGAUUUGAUUUUUGUAUUCUUACGUUUCUCUGCUUUGUAGUUGUGGCUGUACUUAAAGAAAUACAGAAUUUCAUAUAUUUAAAAAUGUUUAAAAUGUGACCCACAGAACAUUGUAAAUGAUUAAAAACUAACAUGAAAAUAUUACAACCUAAAAGAAUUCUUAACUUCA
rnacentral:lncRNA from 10 species